rnacentral:rRNA from 1 species
CACGUAGGAGGCGAGCGUUGUCCGGAAUCAUUGGGCGUAAAGAGCGCGCAGGCGGCUUGGCAAGUCGGGUGUGAAAUCCCGGGGCUCAACCCCGGGACUGCAUUCGAUACGAGCAAACUAGAGUGUUGCAGGGGAGACUGGAAUUCCUGGUGUAGCGGUGAAAUGCGCAGAUAUCAGGAGGAACACCGGUGGCGAAGGCGGGUCUCUGGGCAACAACUGACGCUGAGGAGCGAAAGCGUGGGGAGCGAACAGG